GACGAACGCUGGCGGCGUGCUUAACACAUGCAAGUCGAACGGAAAGGCCCUGCUUUUGUGGGGUGCUCGAGUGGCGAACGGGUGAGUAACACGUGAGUAACCUGCCCUUGGCUUUGGGAUAACUUCAGGAAACUGGGGCUAAUACCGGAUAGGAGCUCCUGCUGCAUGGUGGGGGUUGGAAAGUUUCGGCGGUUGGGGAUGGACUCGCGGCUUAUCAGCUUGUUGGUGGGGUAGUGGCUUACCAAGGCUUUGACGGGUAGCCGGCCUGAGAGGGUGACCGGCAAAAUUGGGACUGAGAUACGGCCCAGACUCGUAGGGGAGGAAGGAGUGGGGAAUAUUGAAAAAGGGGGGGAAGCGUGAUGAAGCAACGCCGCGUGGGGGAUGACGGCCUUGGGGUUGUAAACCGCUUUCGCCUGGGACGAAGCGGGAGUGACGGUAAGGGGUAAAGAAGCACCGGAUAACUACGU
rnacentral:rRNA from 1 species